GGGCAGAUCACCUGAGGCCAGGAGUUCAAGACUAGCGUGGCCAACAUGGUGAAACCCUGUCUCUACUUAAAAUACAAAAAUUAGCCAGGCAUGGUGGUGCGUGCCUGUGGUCCCAGCUACUCAUGAGGCUGACGUGGUAGGGUGGCUUGAGCCUGCACAGUGAAGGCUACCAUGGUGAUUGCACCAUUGCACUCCAGCCUGGGCGCCGAGAGCGAGUGAGGGCUGUGAGGGCUGCCAGCACGCUGUCACCUCUCGCUUUCGGAGGCCGAGGCGGGCGAAUC
rnacentral:lncRNA from 1 species